GAUGAACGCUGGCGGCGUGCCUAAUACAUGCGAGUCGAGCGAACAGACGAGGAGCCUGCUCCUCUGACGUUAGCGGCGGACGGGUGAGUAACACGUGGAUAACCUACCUAUAAGACUGGGAUAACUUCGGGAAACCGGAGCUAAUACCGGAUAAUAUAUUGAACCGCAUGGUUCAAUAGUGAAAGACGGUUUUGCUGUCACUUAUAGAUGGAUCCGCGCCUCAUUAGCUAGUUGGUAAGGUAACGGCUUACCAAGGCAACGAUGCGUAGCCGACCUGAGAGGGUGAUCGGCCACACUGGAACUGAGACACGGUCCAGACUCCUACGGGAGGCAGCAGUAGGGAAUCUUCCGCAAUGGGCGAAAGCUUGACGGAGCAACGCCGCGUGAGUGAUGAAGGUCUUCGGAUCGUAAAACUCUGUUAUUAGGGAAGAACAAAUGUGUAAGUAACUAUGCACGUCUUGACGGUACCUAAUCAGAAAGCCGCGGCUAACUACGUG
rnacentral:rRNA from 1 species